ensembl:lncRNA
CAUCUCCUCCACUGCUUCUGACUCUGCUCCACAAGGCAAGGCAGCUCCCACACAGCAGGCAUCCAGCCUAACUCCCAGCAGGGAGAGUGUGAGAUGUCUGUGGAUGAGCCCACAGGGACUACAGGAUUCUGUGGGAAGACAUCUGGUAGCUUCUGGAGCAGCUGCAGCAGCCAAGAUACAUGAAGUACAGUGGAGGUCUUGCUUUUAACUACUGGACCCAACACAAAGCCUCCCUUGCAGGCUUACCAGAGCAUGAAAACGAAAUGGCCACCUCCUGUAACAAGAAAGACUUCUAGAAGAGGAAGGAGACAUCAAUACAUUCACAAAACUUUCAACUCGAAAUCUGUCUUGCCAAUAAGUGUGCAGGGAUAAAGACAGAAAAGUAGCACACCUGUCUCCAGAGGCUUCACUCAGCAGCUGAAAGCCACAGCCAAUCCUCAGAUGGAGCUCGGGAAGUCUUGUGGAAGAGUGGGGGGAGAGUGACAAGGAAACUGGUUGGGAUAAAACACUACAAGUAGUCCCCUACCGUCAGAUACCUUGGACCAUGGAGUAUGCUAGAGCCUGUGCAACCAACCCCAGAGCCAGAUCUUCAGGAAACAUCUCAACGAAGAACAAGAGAGGCUGAAGAAGAAUGGGGAAGGGUUUGAUCCCUGAAGUUCCUCAGUGUCCACUAGCACAGCACUUGUCCUUGGGAGAUGACAUUUUUCACUCUUCCUGACUGUUGCAC